AACUUGCCCCGAGAUGAGUUCUCCCUGAGACUAUAAGUCUCCUGAAGGAACGUUGAAGACGACGACGUUGAUAGGUCGGGUGUGUAAGUGUAGCGAUACAUUGAGCUAACCGAUACUAAUGAACCGUGAGGCUUAACCUUAC
rnacentral:rRNA from 1 species